UUACAAUGGCAUUUUCUGGGAUGGUAGCAUCACCUACGGGGGCUACUCCGAAAUGCUGGUUGCAGAUCACAGGUACGUGGUGCGCAUACCGGAAACCCUGCCGAUGGAUGCAGCAGCGCCUCUGCUCUGCGCAGGAAUUACUGUGUUCAGCCCCAUGAAAGACAACGGCCUGCUAAAGUCUCCAGGGAAAAGGAUAGGGAUAGUUGGUUUAGGGGGUCUUGGACACGUAGCUGUGAAAUUUGGCAAGGCAUUUGGUCACCAUGUAACCGUGAUUAGUACCUCCCCAUCUAAA
rnacentral:misc_RNA from 1 species